rnacentral:misc_RNA from 1 species
AAGUCGUAACAAGGUUUCCGUAGGUGAACCUGCGGAAGGAUCAUUACCAAAUCCAUCCAAUUACCGACCCACGUGUGAACCGAUGAAACGUCUUUGGGAGUGCCGAAAGAGGGUUUUCUUUCUGCCGGCCUCCCGCUUUUAUUUUAAACCCCGUAACGUUUUUGGCAGAAUUUAUUUUUUUACGCGACUCUGAAUAAGGGACGAGUAAAAAGAGAAAAAAUCAAUCAAAAACAACUUUUAACGGUGGAUCUCUUGGCUCGU